CAGCAGUGGGGAAUAUUGGACAAUGGGCGAAAGCCUGAUCCAGCCAUGCCGCGUGUGUGAAGAAGGUCUUCGGAUUGUAAAGCACUUUAAGUUGGGAGGAAGGGUUGUAGAUUAAUACUCUGCAAUUUUGACGUUACCGACAGAAUAAGCACCGGCUAACUCUGUGCCAGCAGCCGCGGUAAUACAGAGGGUGCAAGCGUUAAUCGGAAUUACUGGGCGUAAAGCGCGCGUAGGUGGUUUGUUAAGUUGGAUGUGAAAUCCCCGGGCUCAACCUGGGAACUGCAUUCAAAACUGACUGACUAGAGUAUGGUAGAGGGUGGUGGAAUUUCCUGUGUAGCGGUGAAAUGCGUAGAUAUAGGAAGGAACACCAGUGGCGAAGGCGACCACCUGACUAAUACUGACACC
rnacentral:rRNA from 1 species